rnacentral:rRNA from 1 species
GCAAGCGUUGUUCGGAAUCACUGGGCGUAAAGGGCGUCUAGGCGGAUAGUUUAGUCAGAGGUGAAAGCCCAGGGCUCAACCUUGGAACUGCCUUUGAUACUGGCUAUCUUGAGUUCGGGAGAGGUGAGUGGAAUGCCGAGUGUAGAGGUGAAAUUCGUAGAUAUUCGGCGGAACACCAGUGGCGAAGGCGGCUGACUGGUCCGGUUCUGACGCUGAGGCGCGAAAGCGUGGGGAGCAAACAGG